GUUGGUACAAAACUGGUGCUCUUGAGCUUGAGUGGAUUUGUUACUAUAACAGAUUCAUUUUCAGCAUUAAUUUUAUUUUUUUUUAUAUCAGUAAGAGUUAACAUGGGAUGUGUAACCAGCAUAAAAAGCCAAACACUUAAGUGCUAAUUAUUUUUCAAAGAAAAAAUUUUUUCAUUGAGAUACAACAAAAUAAUGUGAGAUGUUUCUUCUGCACUUAAUAUAAAACCAACUUCUUUAAGUUUCUGUAUACAAUGUGUGUCCAUUUAUAAUGUUAGUAGCUAACCUCUCCUGUUGUUUCUUUAUUCAGACUUAUACAGAUUCCCUUUUCCUCUGAGGAGUGUAAUUAUGAGAAUCAGGAAUAAUAUUUUCAAAUUGUCACAUAAAUAUUUCUGAAAUUCCACACUCUAUGGAUUUUGUACACACACAACUCUGACCUUCUUCUGGACUUUAGGAUCAUACUUCCAAGGAGGCUAGGGAGAAGAUGAAUUGAUGAAUAUGUAAAGCAGUGAACAGUUCAUUGGGGAUGCACGUUUUCAUAAAAGGACACAUCCCUUCUCCUUACAUUGAGCAAGGUACAAUGCCUAGCAUACUUAUCUACCAAGGUCCCAAGCAUUGAUCCAGGAUAUGAAAGCCACUAUUAAGAUGUUCUGGAGGAUGAGACAUGGGAACAUCUUAGCCCAGCUAUCACCUGGCUGCAAUGGUAUGACAGACUUCAAGUGAAACCAGAAGAACUGCCCAGAAUCAAUGGCUUAUACAAAACACCUUUUCUGCCAGACACCUACCUAAUAUAUGCUUCUCCUUCCUUGACGGUGCUCAGAGAGACAAAGUGCCAAAAACAAUAAAAUACUUAGGAAUAAAAUUAGCCAUGGAAGUGAAAGACCUGAAUACUGAAAACAAUAAAACAUUGAUGAAAUACACUG